AUCCUCAGAUUACUGCAUGGCUUUACUUCAGGAUACUUUUGGCCAUCUAUAUGAAGAUGUGAAGCAAGGAACAUUUUCUAAACCAGGAGGUUAUUGGUUUUUUGUUUGGAAGAAGCAAGAGCUAAAGAAUAAGUACUACCAGGCCCCCAGAAAGGGGAUACUGGUAAACUACCUACUGAACACCAUUUCUUGGGCCUUGCUGAAGUGACUCUUUCAAACUACAGUGGGAACAACCAAAAUGUGAUUGGCAGAAGAGAUACUGAACAAAUAUUUGGAUUCCAAGGAGGAUGUGGCUAUGCUCUUCUACAGACUGAUCAGUCACUUACAAAAAAGGAAAAAGAGAUUGAAGUGGAGUGGAGAAGUCUGAAUCUGUAGAAGCUGCAAACAAAAUUUUGGAGGAAAUGCAAAAGAAGAAUGGGCAGAUAAUGCAAGAAAUAGAAAAGAGUUGUCAUGAACAUAUGAAACAGUUGGCUGAGAAAAUGGAAGAG